AGAAUGAAAGAUAAGGUUGUUUUUCUCCCGCUAUGCCCCCGCUCGGCGUUCUCUGGCAUUUCUUCUCCCCCUAUUGUGCCUUUCACGUUUUUAUCAGCUUUAGAAGAAAAUGUGGCCGCGGUGAGUCAAAACCAAGUUUUACAGUCCUCAUAUCUGCGUCUUUUAAGGCGGGAGCACAACUCAAAUGCGAGGCGAGAAUUCCUUGCAAAUUGGUAGAAACAUUUAUCUUUAAGGAGCGGGAGUUAGAACAAGACACUUUGUAAAAGUUGCCUCGCUGAAUUCGCCUUCCCUGGCUGAUAGAUGAGCCUUCUUCACCUUUAUUGAAACGCAGUUUGAUAAAUGGGCAGGUCAUUGAUUCUGGCAUUGGAAGCACGUCCUCCACCCUUCUGCAUAUUCUCUAUAGGAUACAGCAGAUCACAGAGGUGCAGCACAUUCAUCACGCGCAGUGUGCUGGUUAAAACCAUUGACACUAUUCUCCAAAAUGUCAAAAUUCACACAAAAAAAAGGAUAUACUUGAAAGAAAUGACAACAUUUUUGGGUGAGUUAUCUCGUAUAAACCUGAUUCUAUCAUAAUUAAAGGAUAAUUUAAAACAACUGAUUGAUUUAUUUUUCGGUACAAAAGGCUCGUUCUGAUAUCUAUUCUUUUUUGACUAUAGGGAUGACACAGCACCCUGCAAUAAUGAACUUUUAGAUUUUUCUAAGGUGUUGCUUGCCACUGGAAUAAACUGCAUCUUCCCGUGCAACAUUAAAUCUGUAUGUGUUUGUUUGCUUCAGCAUACAUGGUAGGCCGACCUGAAAGACAUGGAUGAGACACACAUAGCAAUUUACAGGUCAGUUUUUACUAUCUGUGAUGAGGUGACAGCACUUAGCACUAAUUGGGCUGUCGUCCUGUUUCUUUCUUUCUUACAGGUGGUCGUCUUCAUCUUCCCUUUAUAUCAUCUCCACCUUUGUAAAAGGAAAACAUAAAUAUUUCAGAAUCCAACCCACUGGCACCUUUGAUCAAAAUAACACACACACAAGAGAAAUAAAGAUGUAUACAGUACCUAGCAAAAGUAUUCAUCCCCCUUCAUUUUAUUCACAUUUUGUUAUGUUGCUGCCAAAUCACAAUUUUAACUUGAGCUUUUGUGAUAAGAGGGAAUUGUAUUCAAGCGAACAUCAUGUAAAUGUUAGAACUGAAAACGCCCUUGUUACUGAGAUUACAUCUGUUAUUGACACCAUGUCCAGCGAACACCAGGUUCUGGAAUGCACCUAUCUAUGACAACAUUGAUAGGUUGUCAUCAACAAGGCACAGGUCGACCCUGAAUUUUUGGAGAGUUUAAAAUUAAAAAGCAGUGCUGUGCCUUCAGUAUUGGAUCCGAUAGGAAUGGUGCAGCACUCUUAUAUCCUCAGGUUGGAUGGAGAUCUUUCUGGGUUCAAGUCCAAGCACUGGCUGGGCCACUCAAGGACAAAUUUGUUCAGAAGCCACUCUUGCAUUGUUCUAGCUGUGUGCUUAGGAUCAUUGUCAUAUUGGAGAAUGAACCAUCCGCCCUGUCCGAGGUUAUGAAUGUUGUGGGCUAGAUUUUCACGAUCAUUAUCUCUGUAAUUUCUGCCAUUGAGCUUUCCUUCUACUCUGACAAAUGCCCCAGUCCCUCCAGCUGAACACCCCCACAUCAUGAUGCUCUUUCCACCACACUUUACUGUUGGGACGGUAUUGUACAGGUGUCAAGCAGUGCCUG